AUUCAUGCCCUCGGCACAGGGUGGAACGGGCCAGCCGCUCUUACAUAAAAGAUUUCAGCUUCAACGGGAAAAAGUGAAGCAGACCACCUCCUUGGAGCUGGCAUCAGAGCCGGACCUUGAGGAAGACACAGACAGGCGGUCCCUCAUUUCCCCACUUCCACAAGCCGGCAUUCACUCACUCGCACGCGGUCACUCUCGCGGUCAUUCAAGCCCUCGUGAAAAACCCCACCUACCCUCCCACCCUCCUGCCAGCCUCCUCCUCCGCCUCUGCUUUCCGCGACCAGAAAGACGGAGGCAGCCGUGGGGAUAAUCUUCUCGCUCAUCUGAUUAGAAUCAAGAGCGGACCCAACCAGAGAUCUUCAAAUCCUGAUCACAGAGACAGAGGGAGGGACUGUGAGAGCGAGAGAAAGAGAGAGAGAGAAGGGGGGGGGGUUGACUACGUUGGUGUGUGUAAGGAGGUUGAGACUGUGUAUAUGGUGGAGGUUUGGGGGGUGUGGCAGGAUGGAUGCUCUGGGGGGAGGGGCUUUGCCACUGCCACCUGAGAGACGGAGCUGAGUGAGAGAUGCAUGAAUGGAUGCAGAGGAAGAACGGAAGGCUCUGCCUGCCUUUUUCUCUCUCACUCUCUCCUUCGCUCACUUUUUUCCCUUUAUACCCACGAGCCUGCUUCAGUUCCCCUCUUUUCUACCUAUAUCUUCCUCUGCCUGUUUGCUCUCAUCUCUCUCCCAGCUAACCAUCACUCUCCCCCCUGUUGCUAUGGAAACAACAUUGCUCAAUGGGACUUGGAUAGAUGUUGUGAAGCAGCAGACAGGAAAUGCUUCCGCAUGGUAAAGGCUAUAAUCGUGGUUGUCAAGCGAUGAGAGUAAAUCUAAUUUUGUUAGUAUGUUAGUGCAUGAUGUAAUGCAUUUACUUUUUCAUUCUGUCACAAACACUGUGAAAACUAAGUAACAAGGAUGAAAAUUGUACACUUACAACAAAUGUCUGUGGUCAGACCUAUUAACUCGGUGAAAGAUAUUAUUAUGAAGAAACAAUGACUGAACUCGAACCACAUGAUACAUUUGUUGUUUGAGGCUCACAUUAACUAUAACCUCCAGUUGAAUUUCGAAUUCUUUGUUUCUGACCCUGUCUUCGAUGUGAACUACUGACACUUAAUUUUCCAAAAGAUUUUUAAUCUCACUGAAGUCCACAACAGCUUUUGAUUGUUUUUUUAUGGUGUGUACUUCCAUUGCUCAGCACUUGGCUUGCUUGCCCCUUUCUCAAAAUUCUGCUCUCGCGGAGUUACAUUUGGACAACGUUGAACAAUCGUUACGUCCUUCUUGGCGGAGCUGUGAAGUUUAGGGAGUACAGGAGGAUCAGGAGCAGUGCAAAGGCAGCAGAACAUCUGGAGUAGAACGGCUCCAGAUGCGGCAGGCUUAAGUGCCAGUAAACAGAGAAAACCAUGCGAGACGGGAGGGGAAUCCUGGAUUAGAUGCAUUUUGUGUCCAACAUAUCACUGAAAAGAAGAAUUGGUAAAGAAAAUAAAAGAAGAAUGUUAAACA
rnacentral:lncRNA from 1 species